rnacentral:rRNA from 1 species
UACGGAGGGUGCAAGCGUUAUCCGGAUUUAUUGGGUUUAAAGGGUCCGUAGGCGGACCUAUAAGUCAGUGGUGAAAUCCUAUCGCUUAACGAUAGAACUGCCAUUGAUACUGUAGGUCUUGAGUAUAUUUGAAGUGGCUGGAAUAAGUAGUGUAGCGGUGAAAUGCAUAGAUAUUACUUAGAACACCAAUUGCGAAGGCAGGUCACUAAGCCUCAACUGACGCUGAUGGACGAAAGCGUGGGGAGCGAACAGG